CUCUGCUAAAAAAGCCUCUAGAUUAUCCAAUAUUGGAUCUCGUCGUUCAAGAAAAGAUGAAAACCACGAUAGUUCUCAACCUGAAAGAAGCGUACCAAUGAUUCUAACUUGUGAUCCUGGAGUUGGAUAGCUUUGGGAUUGAAGUUCAAUCAUAAGUUGCACUUGAUUGAUAAAUCCUCGAAACUUGGAUCUGGUGCCAUCAAACU
rnacentral:lncRNA from 1 species